UACGUAGGGGGCAAGCGUUGUCCGGAUUCAUUGGGCGUAAAGAGCGUGUAGGCGGCCAGGUAGGUCGGUUGUGAAAACUGGAGGCUCAACCUUCAGAGGUCGACCGAAACCAUCUGGCUAGAGUCCGGGAGAGGAGAGUGGAAUUCCUGGUGUAGCGGUGAAAUGCGCAGAUAUCAGGAAGAACACCAGUGGCGAAGGCGGCUCACUGGCCCGGUACUGACGCUGAGGUGCGAAAGCGUGGGGAGCAAACAGG
rnacentral:rRNA from 1 species